ensembl:lincRNA
GUAAAAUAAAUAAUGAAAGGAGGAGGGGGCCCAAGUUCUCGUGGCGUUUUAAACGUUCUGCCUUUUAGCUUUUAGCUGUAGGGUUAGUAAGCAGCAAUGUCAGACUAAACCCUGUGACUGAGACACAUCAAGGGGUAGAGUGAGGCUGGCGGUGGCGCGUUUGGUUGGCGGGGUACCUCACCUGGCCUCAGAGAAAUCCCGUCUUUGUUGCGGCCCCAGAGAAACUGGAUGGCAGGAGGUGCUUGCACUUCCCAGAUACUGUGCAGAUGACAAAGUCAGACCUGAGCCUCCCUGGAAGGCACCGCUGGACUCUUUGAGGGCAAAGGGCAAAGCUAUGCGAACGCACCUGCCACUGCCUGCCCUCGGUCCCCAUAUGAUCCAGGCAGAGCCAUCGAAGCACAUCGUUGAAAGUCACUGGUGGUUCUCGCAUCAGUGCCAAACUGUACUGUGUUGAGAAUGGAGGUGUAUGGAAAAAGCGUGCCAGAUGUAUACUGUGGACCAUGACUGGUGGUAAUAGUCUGAUGGUAUUAUCUCAUAAGCUGUAACAAAUGUCCCACCAGGGUGUGCAAUUGUAUGGGAAAUUUACACAUCGGUAUGAUUGUUUUGCAAGUUGACAAUAUCUGUAACAAAAAUAUAUUUUUAAAAAAUGGUAUGGGUUGGGGAAAAAAUACAGCAAAUGUAAGAUAAGGACUACGGUUGGUAGUAAUAUUUUGAUGGCGCACUUGCAUGGUUUGUAACAAAUGUUUCACACCAAUGCCAAGAGUUGGUGGAGGGGUGAUGUGUGAGACCCCUGGGUGAUGUUAUGUAUGUUUAUUUUGUAAGUUUGCAAUCUUUACUAUACACUUAUUGUUUAUGUGUGUUCAUGUAUGAAUGAUAUACUCCAAUAAAAAUUCUUAAAAAAGUCACUGGUGGUGGAGCAAGGGAGGCAAACUCCUAGAAGAAGGAUGUGGUUUGCAACCGGCCCUCCAGCCUUUUUAUCAUCUUCUGCUCAGAAGUCUCCACUCCUUUCCCGUGGCGCCAC